rfam:Tenericutes bacterium 4572_104 ex4572_104_scaffold_1324, whole genome shotgun sequence.
UAUGUAUUGCAUACCGCACAUAUUUGGUUUAUAAAUACGGUUAUUCGUUACCAAAACUUGGCGAGUCUUAAAAUUAGA